UAUCUUCAGGGCAGGGUGAAAUUCCCUACCGGCGGUAAAGCCCGCGAGCCGAAAGGUGUGAUCUGGUGAGAUUCCGGAGCCGACAGUACAGUCUGGAUGAGAGAAGAUG
rnacentral:ncRNA from 1 species